CGUAAACUGGGAGGAGCUCACCGCCAGACUAGCACCGGUCAUGUUUAGUAUCAUAAAGACGGAACAGAUUAAAGCUCAUUAUGGUAAACCUUUCAUUCAAGUCUCGUUCAAUGUUGGAGGAAGGGGCAAACGGAUUGGACAAGGAAGCUACCAACGGGUCACUGAUUGAAGCUCUAUUGAAGGUGAACAUGAGACGACAAGCCAAUGAAAUAUUUGGAGAAGAUCUUGUGACGUAUGUGGAAACAAAUGGCUCAUGAGAGAGUCAGAUGUGUUUGGCGCGAGAGAGGUACCCAAAGACCUCAUUCAUUGCACAAAGACAUGGUGGGUGUCAAUGGACGACUGGACAAGAUCAUCAGUCUUUUGAUUCUGCAGAAAAAGACAAACCCAAGCAAGAGAAACAAUAAAUAGAUGCCUGUGACACCCCAGAAAGAGACGUUUAUAUUGGUGAUCCAAGCCUUAUCAUGAGGGCCAGCAAGUUGGCUGUUACCAGAGCCACCAUUAAGGCUGGUAGAAGGUCUCUGUUGGCCCUCAAUCUUGUGGCUAUCUUGUUCGAUCAGGAUUGCUUAAGACGUUCGACUGUGUGUGGGUCUAGAGACUCCUCAAAGAGGCACUAGACCCUAGGAAGAUCGAAGCCAUAAGAAGCCAUUGUUUUCACAAGUUCCUAAUAAAGGUGGGAGAGACAGAAUAGGCGGCAUCUCAGGAGAUGACAAAAGCCAUCUGUUGUAUGGAAUAAUGGCACUGCGGGCAUAACGAAGCGAAUUCAGAGAAUUGAAAAAAGGUUUUUGAGAGUACUUUCUGGUCUGAAACCAAGGGAAUCUACUGGAAUAUGUCUUCUGUCUUUUCUAAAUUUGGUCUCCAAUCACAUCAGGCCAGACACUCUUUCUACCUAGGUACACUCGCUCACCGGUGUCUACAUUCUCUAGCUCCUAACAGAGUCAACUUCCGGUAUCACUCCCUUGAAAAUCAUCAUUAUCACACUGGUCUUACUCUAUCAGGACUACGUACUCCUAAUCCAAACACUGAAGCACUUCGGCAGUCUUCAUUUUAUCGUGCUCAAAAGUUCUGGAAUUCUCUUCCAUGUAGGCUAAGAAUAGUCUCUAAAGUCUCUAAUUUUAAGCAGCCCUACGGAAGUUCUCUUACAGUGUAGAUGAUAUUUAGAUUCAUGUGUUCUAAAAUAUUAGAUAAUGUUUCACUUAGACUGUAUAGUAUGUAUGUUAGCGUAAAUAUUCAUGUAUGUGUGCUUGGUACUGUACCCGGAAGAUCGACCGCUGAGUUGAGGGCUUUCCGUAGUAAAAGAAAUACAAAUACAAUACAAAUGCAAUCACAGACAAGUGUUUGCUAGUUGC